UCGUGCAGGUGGGUCCUUUGUCAAUCUAAAUUUCAAAGUUUUCUCGACUAUGCAAAUUAACUAUUGCAUCGUUUUAAACAUCAAAGUGCUCUUGCCUAAAUUUGCCUUUCUGAACUUUCCAAUGUAGGCUACACUUAUAAUUUUGCAAUUUAUAAAUCUGGCUGACGCUUUUUGUCCAACAAGUAGGCUACAUUUAAAAUGCUACUCUAGCACCUAAGAGCUGAAGAUAUGCAAAGUUACAGUCAAAUUAGUACCACCAUCGAGGUGCUUGUCUCAAGACCUGCAACAUAAAAAGGUGUACAGUAGAAGUGGAUUACUGAAGUGGAAGAAAAGGACGAAGGAACAGACCCUUGCCCAUCACCGCAACAUUAUCAGACAAUGCAGGAGGGCACGGGCUGGUAAAUCUGCGCACUGAAGGGUGUGAUGCCAGCCGAGGCUGCUCCCCUCUCUGCAGUCCACCAGCUGAGGUGCACGAUCGUUGAGAUGGAAGACUCAGCUCAGCAUGCAGCUAGUACUGGAAGAGUGCAGGUGGCUGACUGACCAGAGGAGUCCCACUGCCAAGCGAGGAUCCCGGCUGCAGUCAGCGCCGGUCUGGGCGGGAUUUGUUAGCACACGGUGGGGUGUGUCACAGCACCACGGACUGUAAUGGCUCAGCUGAGCAUCGCUCCCCAGAGGCCUCCCCGGCUUGCUUCUGACAUGGCAUUCAAGCAGGCCGAGAGGGAGCCAAGCAGACGUGAUGUUUACAGAGAUGCUGGGGAAGGAGGAAUUGGGGUGUUUUUUGUUUGUGUACAUUGGCAGGCAGCUUCCAUAAACAAACAGCGUGGCUGCAAAGGGCCUGUAUUUUGUUGCGUUGUGCG